ensembl:miRNA
GGUUUCUCUGUGUAGCCCUGGCUGUCCUGGAACUCACUCUGUAGACCAGGCUGGCCUCGAACUCAGAAAUCCACCUGCCUCUGCCUCCCGAGUGCUGGGAUUAAAGGCGUACGCUACCACUGCCUG